CCGCAAGAACCCCAAAACCCUUUCAUCCCCUUCGAACAUAAUACUUCUUUGAUAAUAGAAUCAUGUACACAUCAAUCUCGGUCAUCCUCCGACGCUCCAAAACAGUCUCGGACCACCUCCAAACCCGAAUUUUCACCCGGUUAAUGGGCGGAGGUCCACGAACAUUCCCGGGCGGCCUAAACAAAUGGCAAUGGAAACGGCUCCACGAGAAAAGAGCCAAAGAAAAAGAAAAAUCACUCCUUGAACAAGAAAAGCAACUCUACCAAGCCAGAAUCCGUUCCCAAAUCCGAUCCAAGCUUGCCGGAGAACCCGACUCGAAUCCUAAUACCAACAAUUACAGCGCCACGAGCCCCAAAGACCACAUUAAAGCCCUAGCUGAUCGUUUUAUGAAAGAAGGAGCUGAAGAUUUAUGGAACGAAGACGACGGACCAUUGACAUCUCAAUUGCCGAAAUCAAAUCAACGGUCAGGAUCAAUUGGGAGUAAUCAACGGCCGGGAUCAAUUAACACGCCCAUUGACUUGAGGAAAGUGAUGUUAGAGGCAAGAAGUGUUCAUAAUUUUGAAAAUUUGAGCUAUAAUUAUACAAAAACUAGGGAAUACUCAGUUAAUUCAUUUAAUUUAGGGCAGAAGCAGAGUAAUGAGAGUGAUAAUUUAAAGAAAAGGGGAUUAAUUUCACAGAAAGUGAGAAGAUUUAGGAGAAAUGAGAGUUCUUCAAGCGAAGAUGAUGGUGAUUAUGACUGUGAUAAUGAGAGGGAAAAGAAAGGGAGAAAUGUGAGGGAGAUAAUAGGGAGUAGAGCUGCUUUGGGAAAGUAUGAUGUGAAGAUUAGCAAAAGAGUGCCGCUUAAGGAGCUUGAAGAAGAGACGGAUUUUGAGUUCAUUAGAUAUGAGCUUGAGAAUAAAAUGAAGUUGGAUAGAAAUGAUAGAGAGAAGAGUGAGAUUGAUGAACAGGAAUCAAUACUUGGUCAGAGAAGAUUUGAUGAAUGUGGUAUAUCUCCAUUAACUGUCAAGGCACUUACAACAGCUGGUUAUGUUCAAAUGACUAGGGUGCAGGAAGCUACUUUGUCUGCUUGCCUUGAGGGCAAGGAUGCUUUGGUUAAAGCCAAAACUGGCACUGGAAAAAGUGCGGCAUUUUUGCUUCCUGCUAUUGAAGCAGUUUUGAAAGCAAAAUCUAGCAAUGUGAAGCCUCGGGUAUCUCCAAUUUAUGUUCUUAUUCUCUGUCCCACAAGAGAGCUAGCAAGUCAAAUAGCUGCAGAAGCAAACGCUAUGCUGAAGUACCAUGAUGGCAUAAGUGUGCAAACACUAGUUGGAGGUACACGUUUCAAGGAUGAUCAGAAACGCCUAGAAAUGAAUCCUUGCCAGAUAAUUGUUGCAACUCCAGGUCGGCUGCUGGAUCACAUUGAGAAUAAGGGUGGUUUAUCUGUUCAUUUGAUGGGAUUGAAGAUGCUUAUACUUGAUGAAGCCGACCAUUUACUAGACCUGGGUUUCCGAAAAGAUGUGGAAAAAAUUAUCGACUGUUUACCCCGCGAGCGACAUUCCUUGAUGUUCUCAGCAACAAUUCCAAAAGAGGUUCGCCGAAUAUCUCAGCUUGUAUUGAAAAGAGAGCAUGCUUUCAUUGAUACAGUGGGACUGGGUAGUGUGGAAACACCUUCUAAGGUCAAGCAGUUUUCCAUGGUUGUUCCACACGAAUUGCAUUUUCAAGUAGUGCAUCAUUUCUUGAAGGAGCAUAUUCUACAAACACCUGAUUACAAGGUUAUUGUUUUCUGCACAACCGGGAUGGUAACAUCACUCAUGUACACGCUUCUCCGGGAAAUGAAAAUGAAUGUUAAGGAGAUUCACUCUAGAAAGCCUCAAUUAUAUCGAACUCGUGUCUCUGAUGAGUUCAGGGAAUCAAGAAGAUCAAUUCUUGUCUCAUCUGAUGUUUCAGCUCGUGGAAUGAAUUAUCCUGAUGUUACAUUGGUCAUUCAGGUUGGUCUUCCUACUGACCGGGAGCAAUACAUACAUCGUCUUGGAAGAACAGGACGUGAAGGCAAAGAUGGAGAAGGGAUCUUGUUACUUGCACCAUGGGAAGAAUAUUUCCUGGAUGAGUUAGAAGACCUGCCUCUUGAUAAACUUCCUAUUCCUGAUAUAGAUCCAGAAACUAAACUUAAGGUGGAGGAUUCAAUGUCAAAGAUUGAUAGUAGUGUCAAAGAAGCAGCAUAUCAUGCCUGGCUAGGCUAUUAUAACUCCAUCAGGAAAAUUGGAAGGGAUAAAACCACGCUUGUCGAGCUAGCCAACAGAUUCUGCGAGUCGAUAGGGUUGCAGAGGCCUCCUCCUUUGUUCAGGAAAACAGCUCUAAAAAUGGGUUUGAAAAACAUCCCUGGUAUCCGCAUCCGAGCAUAAACCUUUACUGGGAAUACAGGUCAACAAGCUUCUCGUAGUGUAGCUGGGAUAAAAAGGCACCAAAAAUGAGUGCAAAAAGACCAGGUUUUGUGGUCCAAUGGAGAACAAACGCUUUGUUGUUUCAAGGAACUGGGCAAAUAUGAACUAUGACAUACUAAUAAAGAUAUUCACCAUGGUGAGCACAUCAGAUUUGAUUUCGAGCGUUUCUUUUGUUUGUCCUUUAUGGCGUGCUGCAUGUUUCCAUCCGAGUUUUUGGCAUACACUUGAUUUGGCUAGACUGAAGUGCUAUGCUGAUAAGCCACAAGAUCUUCGCGCUUCACUAGACAAUCGACCAAGUUCGAGGUUAAUGCAAAUAUUGAACAGCGCAUUCAUCCUCAGUGGGCACAACAUAACGCGCUUGAUUUUCGAUUUUCGGGCAUACAUUAAGGAUUCACACUUAACCUUGGCUGCUGAAAGAUGUCCAAGGCUCAAACAACUUGUUCUGCCAGCCUGGAAUCAAAUUUCUGUGAAUGGGUUCUGUGCAGCUAUCCAGAAGUUGACAGAGCUCGAGUCUCUGACUCUUCCAUGCAAUUAUUUCCCACACAGUAUCUUGCAGACGAUAGGUGUGAAUUGUACGAAGCUCAGCGAACUCAAAGUGAUGUCCCCUUUUGAUCAUGACUUUGCCAACACCUUGUUUAUUUAUCUCCCAAAGCUUAAGGUCUUGAGUUUGAGGUGCUCAAUAGUGCACAAAGAUGCCUUGAGACUCACAUUAAUGCUCUUUGAUGAUUUGAAGGUGCUGAAUAUAUCACACAGCCUGCUUGUUGACCUCUUUCCAUCUGAAAUUCCAACUACAUUUAAGUGGGACCAUGAUACAUCAAUCACUGAGCAAGCCUCAAGGCUGAAGACAUUCCUCUGGUGUCAAAAUAGUUAUUGCAUAAUGUGUCAGCGCGUUCUAUAUGAUGCAGGACACCCUAAUUGGCAAGAAUAUGAAGGACUUUGGUGUGAAGAUGAGGUGAGUUCUUUUGCAAUUUGAUCAAGUUUGUUAAGGAUUUGAGGUUAUGUUUGGGAUAUUCAAGCAGGAUUUAUAUCCUGCAAGACUUUUUAGUUCAAUAAAUAAACUUUCUAUGCUGAAA